rnacentral:rRNA from 1 species
GAUGAACGCUAGCGGCAGGCCUAAUACAUGCAAGUCGGACGGGAUCCAUUGAUAGCUUGCUAUCAAUGGUGAGAGUGGCGCACGGGUGCGUAACGCGUGAGCAACCUGCCUCCAUCAGGGGGAUAGCCUCUCGAAAGAGAGAUUAACACCGCAUAAUAUCAACAGUUCGCAUGUUCAGUUGAUUAAAUAUUUAUAGGAUGGAGAUGGGCUCGCGUGACAUUAGCUAGUUGGUAGGGUAACGGCUUACCAAGGCGACGAUGUCUAGGGGCUCUGAGAGGAGAAGCCCCCACACUGGUACUGAGACACGGACCAGACUCCUACGGGAGGCAGCAGUAAGGAAUAUUGGUCAAUGGGCGGAAGCCUGAACCAGCCAUGCCGCGUGCAGGAUGACUGCCCUAUGGGUUGUAAACUGCUUUUGUCCAGGAAUAAACCUAAAUACGAGUAUUUAGCUGAAUGUACUGGAAGAAUAAGGAUCGGCUAACUCCGUG